GACGAACCACACAAACGUUAUUCGGAAUUACUGGGCUUAAAGGGUGCGUAGGCGGCGCGGAAAGUUGGGUGUGAAAUCCCUCGGCUCAACCGAGGAUCUGCGCCCAAAACUACCGUGCUCGAGGGAGAUAGAGGUGAGCGGAACUUAGGGUGGAGCGGUGAAAUGCGUUGAUAUCCUAAGGAACACCCGUGGCGAAGGCGACACGCUGGGUCACACCUGACGCUAAAACGCGACAGCAUGGGGAGCAAACGGG
rnacentral:rRNA from 1 species